GGAUUUUCUCCAUUUUUUGGGGUUUCAGUUGAAGAAUUCGAAGUGGGGUUUUGAGUUCUUGAAUAUAUUUUACUCAUGACAUCAACUUUGAGGAGAAGGCUUCAUCAUGGGGAUGUUGGUGGCAAAAAGAAUGAGCAUUUUGAUUCUUUAGGCUCUGAUGAUGGUUUGAAUGAGCCUUUACUUGGGUACCAGAAAUAUGAUGACAGUGAUCAGGUAUGUACGCUUGAAGAAGUGUUGGAUGAAGGGCGAAGGAGGGAACGUCUG
rnacentral:misc_RNA from 1 species